CGUUUAAAUAGUAAAGGUUACGGUACAAGAUGAGUAUGCGUCCUAUUAGUUAGUUGGUGUGGUAACGGCACACCAAGACUACGAUAGGUAGGGGCCCUGAGAGGGGGAUCCCCCACACUGGUACUGAGACACGGACCAGACUCCUACGGGAGGCAGCAGUGAGGAAUAUUGGACAAUGGGCGAGAGCCUGAUCCAGCCAUGCCGCGUGCAGGAAGACGGCCCUAUGGGUUGUAAACUGCUUUUAUACAGGAAGAAACACUCCCUCGUGAGGGAGCUUGACGGUACUGUAAGAAUAAGGACCGGCUAACUCCGUGCCAGCAGCCGCGGUAAUACGGAGGGUCCGAGCGUUAUCCGGAAUCAUUGGGUUUAAAGGGUCCGUAGGCGGGCAGCUCAGUCAGUGGUGAAAGUUUGCAGCUCAACUGUAAAAUUGCCAUUGAUACUGGUUGUCUUGAAUUAAUGUGAAGUGGUUAGAAUAUGUAGUGUAGCGGUGAAAUGCAUAGAUAUUACAUGGAAUACCAAUUGCGAAGGCAGAUCACUAACAUUAUAUUGACGCUGAUGGACGAAAGCGUGGGGAGCGAACAGGAUUAGAUACCCUGGUAGUCCACGCCGUAAACGAUGGAUACUAGCUGUUCGAUCUUCGGAUUGAGUGGCUAAGCGAAAGUGAUAAGUAUCCCACCUGGGG
rnacentral:rRNA from 1 species